UUGAAAGUGACUACAUCG
rnacentral:sRNA from 1 species